rnacentral:rRNA from 1 species
CCUACGGGUGGCUGCAGUGGGGAAUAUUGGACAAUGGGCGCAAGCCUGAUCCAGCCAUGCCGCGUGAGUGACGAAGGCCUUAGGGUUGUAAAGCUCUUUUGGCGGGGAAGAUAAUGACGGUACCCGCAGAAUAAGCUCCGGCUAACUUCGUGCCAGCAGCCGCGGUAAUACGAAGGGAGCUAGCGUUGUUCGGAAUCACUGGGCGUAAAGCGCACGUAGGCGGAUGUGUCAGUCAGGGGUGAAAUCCCGGAGCUCAACUUCGGAACUGCCCUUGA